AACAGUUCUACCUGGAGCGGUUCAAGAGGGACAGGUUGGGGAGUUUGAAUCGUCUGUGCUCUUCAGUGGCUUUUCCCUGGGUGCAGAGCUGGAACGCACUCCCAUGUUGCCCUCCAGACCUGUGGGGCCGCUGCAAAAGAAAAUCUGCGUGAACUCAACGGCCUUGGAUGGAGCGGGCAGGAGCUGCUUCCAAGUUGAGACCCUUUGCAGAUUGGUGAGCAACUUUGCAAUGAGGAGCAGGAUCCUGAGAGAGAACAGAAGACCCUGACCCAUUGGUGCUCACUGAGCCUUGCCAACCUGUCAGAAAUGUUCGCCAUCGAGACUUGAAAGCAAAGAAAGUAAGGCCCAAGUCAUAAACUGGAAACAAAUCAAUAUCCAUCAACUGGUGAAUGGAUACAGAAGAUUUGGCAUAUCUACACCACAAGGGAACUACUCAGCAAUAGAAAGGAAUGAACUACUGAUAUAUGCAACAACACAGAUAAAACUCAAAAACAGUGUGCUAAGUGAAAAAAAACAGCCACAAAAGACACAUAAUAGAUGACUCCGUUUAUAUGAAAUCUAAUCAUAUGAAAAGAAAAGGCAAAAGUAGAGAAACAGAAAGCAGACAUUUUUCUUUGUAACCAGAACACCAAUUUUUGGAUUAUACAUACAUCUAUUUGGUGCCUCAGGAGGUUUUUACCCUAUGGGACAGUGGACCUUUGUGAUAUCCUGGGAGAAGGAAAGAUUUGCCUUCCUUUUAUAAGUGGUAGAAAUAGCUAUUGGGAAGGAGAAACAGUGUGGUGCUUGAAAUGCUGACCUCAGACAAGUCAUUUUAAGGAAACAAUACACGUGAUGUUAUGUCAGAUUCAGAGCAACCCCAGGAAACGUAUCUUACAGAACUGAUCUGGAAGGAUGUGCACUUGUCAGAAACAGCACUUUAUUUUAUUCCCCUCUUUAUUAGAGACACAAACUAGCUCACUUUAUUCAGAAGAAAACUAAGGUAACAUUUUGUUUUGACGUUGUUCCUAUUUAGGAUACUGAUUUGAUUCGCAAAGGUUCUAAAGAUUGUGGAUGUGUCUUUUUAUAGAUUACUUCUCCUUUAUUACAUCUCCCAAAAAGCAAGGCUUAGGAGAAUAUAUUCUGAAUUUAGGUUUCAACUAUUGUGGAUUUUUUUUCAAGGAUCUUUUUUUUUUGGAACUUAUUGAACAAAUCAAAGAUUUUCAGAGGACUUUCUAUUCUGGGUAUGCUAUAGCUCUGAUUGGAAAAUUCUAACAUGCUCUGACUAUACGUUAU
rnacentral:lncRNA from 1 species